rnacentral:rRNA from 1 species
UAGGGAAUCUUCGGCAAUGGGGGGAACCCUGACCGAGCAACGCCGCGUGAGUGAAGAAGGUUUUCGGAUCGUAAAGCUCUGUUGUUAAGGAAGAACGAGAGUGAGAAUGGAAAGUUCAUGCUGUGACGGUACUUAACCAGAAAGGGACGGCUAACUACGUGCCAGCAGCCGCGGUAAUACGUAGGUCCCGAGAGUUGUCCGGAUUUAUUGGGCGUAAAGCGAGGGCAGGCGGUUAGAAAAGUCUGAAGUGAAAGGCAGUGGCUCAACCAUUGUAGGCUUUGGAAACUGUUUAACUUGAGUGAAGAAGGGGAGAGUGAAAUUCCAUGGUUAGCAGUGAAAUGCGUAGAUAUAUGGAGGAACACCGGGAGCGAAAGCGGCUCUCUGGUCUGUAACUGACGCUGAGGCUCGAAAGCGUGGGGAGCGAACAGG